UUUCAUGUCUUCCAGAUACCAACAAUCAAUCAAGAGACUGGCAUCGCAGGAGCUGAGCCAAAUGAAACUCUUAGGAAAAUCCGGUCUGAUAGUGUCUUGCGUCCAACUCAAAAACAGAAAGGAAAGGUCUACUUUGGGCAGAAUCUAGUUUUCGAAGGCUCUCUUACCGGGAAAAAGGGAAAUGUCGUAAAGGUUGGAGAUCCUGUUUAUGUUCUCAAGAAGGUCUCCUCUGCUGAUGAAGCAGCAGCUUGAAUUUUGUAGAAUAUCUACUUUAUCUUUGCUGUUACAUGGAUAAUAGUAUAAGAACUGCUGUCUAGUGUACAAUAAAUAACAAGUGAAGUGAGUGGCUUGUUAAUGCUGGUUUCUUGCUUUUUGUCUUCCAAAUUAUGAGGAGGGGGUGUAGGGGUGAGAGUUCCAGCUAUUUCAAUUUAAUGUAUGAGAACCAAAGUCUCCAUGAAUGAUAUAUGUGUUAUGUAGCCGCUUUCA